rnacentral:rRNA from 1 species
AAUUACCUACGGGGCGCAGCAGUAGGGAAUAUUGCGCAAUGGGCGAAAGCCUGACGCAGCGACGCCGCGUGAGGGAUGAAGGUCUUCGGAUCGUAAACCUCUGUCAGCAGGGAAGAACGGUCACUGUGCUAAUCAGCAGUGAAAUGACGGUACCUGAGUAAGAAGCACCGGCUAAAUACGUGCCAGCAGCCGCGGUAAUACGUAUGGUGCAAGCGUUGUCCGGAUUUACUGGGUGUAAAGGGAGCGCAGGCGGCACGGCAAGCCUGAUGUGAAAGCCCGCGGCCCAACCGCGGGUCUGCAUUGGG